rnacentral:rRNA from 1 species
UACGGAAGGGCAAGCGUUGUUCGGAAUCAUUGGGCGUAAAGGGUGCGUAGGUGGCGCUGUAAGUCGGGUGUGAAAUCCUGAGGCUUAACCUCGGAACUGCAUUCGAUACUGCGGCGCUUGAGGACUGGAGAGGAGACUGGAAUUCAUGGUGUAGCAGUGAAAUGCGUAGAGAUCAUGAGGAAGACCAGUGGCGAAGGCGGGUCUCUGGACAGUUCCUGACACUGAGGCACGAAGGCCAGGGGAGCAAACGGG